rnacentral:rRNA from 1 species
AUACGGAGGAUCCGAGCGUUAUCCGGAUUUAUUGGGUUUAAAGGGAGCGUAGGUGGGAUAUUAAGUCAGCUGUGAAAGUUUGGGGCUCAACCUUAAAAUUGCAGUUGAUACUGGUUUCCUUGAGUACGGUACAGGUGGGCGGAAUUCGUGGUGUAGCGGUGAAAUGCUUAGAUAUCACGAAGAACUCCGAUCGCGAAGGCAGCUCACCGGGCCGGAACUGACACUGAUGCUCGAAAGUGCGGGUAUCAAACAGGAUUAGAUACCCUGGUAGUCCACACAGUAAACGAUGAAUACUCGCUGUUUGCGAUAUACAGUAAGCGGCCAAGCGAAAGCAUUAAGUAUUCCACCUGGGGAGUACGCCGGCAACGGUGAAACUCAAAGGAAUUGACGGGG